rnacentral:misc_RNA from 1 species
GAUGAAGAACGUAGCGAAAUGCGAUACGUAAUGUGAAUUGCAGAAUUCAGUGAAUCAUCGAAUCUUUGAACGCAUAUUGCGCUCUCUGGUAUUCCGGAGAGCAUGCUUGUUUGAGUAUCAGUAAACACCUCAACUCCCUUUUCUUUUUUGAAAUUGGAGCUGGACUUGAGUGAUCCCAACGCUUUCUUCCAAGAAAGUGGCGGGUUGCUUGAAAUGCAGGUGCAGCUGAACUUUUCUCUGAGCUAUAAGCAUAUCUAUUUAGUCUGCCUAAAAAACAGAUUAUUACCUUUGCUGCAGCUAACAAAAAGGAGACUAGUUCUUGUGCUGACUGAUGCAGGAUUCACAGAGACAGCUUCGGCUGACUUUGUAAACUCGAUCUCAAAUCAAGUAAGACUACCCGCUGAACUUAAGCAUAUCAAUAAGCGGAGGA